GAGGUUAUAGCUCAAUGGUAGAGCGUAUGUUUAGCAUACAUGAGGUCCUGGGUUCAAGCUCCAGUACUUCU
rnacentral:tRNA from 1 species